rnacentral:rRNA from 1 species
CCUACGGGUGGCUGCAGUGAGGAAUAUUGGUCAAUGGGCGCGAGCCUGAUCCAGCCAAGUAGCGUGAAGGAUGACUGCCCUACGGGUUGUAAACUUCUUUUAUAAAGGAAUAAAGUGAGGCACGUGUGCCUUUUUGUCUGUACUUUAUUAAUAAGGAUCGGCUAACUACGUGCCAGCAGCCGCGGUAAUACGGAGGAUCCGAGCGUUAUCCGGAUUUGUUGGGUGUAAAGGGAGCGUAGAUGGGUUGGUAAGUCAGUUGUGAAAGUUUGCGGUUCAACCGUACAAUUGCAAUUGAUACUGGCAGUCUGGAGUACAGUUGAGGUAGGCGGAAUUCGUGGUGUAGCGGUGAAAUGCGUAGAUAUCACGAAGAACUCCGAUUGCGAAGGCAGCUUACUAAACUGCCACUGACAUUGAUGCUCGAAAGUGUGGGUAUCAAACAGGAUUAGAUACCCGGGUAGUC